UACGUAGGUGGCAAGCGUUGUCCGGAAUUAUUGGGCGUAAAGCGCGCGCAGGCGGCCUCCUAAGUCCGAUGUGAAAGCCCACGGCUCAACCGUGGAGGGUCAUUGGAAACUGGGGGACUUGAGUGCAGGAGAGAAGAGUGGAAUUCCACGUGUAGCGGUGAAAUGCGUAGAGAUGUGGAGGAACACCAGUGGCGAAGGCGGGUCUCUGGACAGUUCCUGACACUGAGACACGAAGGCCAGGGGAGCAAACGGG
rnacentral:rRNA from 1 species